rnacentral:rRNA from 1 species
CGUGGGUAACCUGCCUUAUAGUGGGGGAUAGCCUUUCGAAAGGAAGAUUAAUACCGCAUAAGAUUGUAGUAUCGCAUGAUAUAGCAAUUAAAGGAGCAGUCCGCUAUAAGAUGGACCCGCGUCGCAUUAGCUAGUUGGUGAGGUGAUGGCUCACCAAGGCGACGAUGCGUAGCCGACCUGAGAGGGUGAUCGGCCACAUUGGGACUGAGACACGGCCCAGACUCCUACGGGAGGCAGCAUG